ACCUGGGUGGCUCAGUCGGUUGAGCAUCUGACUUCGGCUCAGGUCAUGAUCUCACGGUUCGUGGGUUCAGGUCCCACGUCAGGCU
rfam:Felis catus isolate Cinnamon breed Abyssinian chromosome A1, whole genome shotgun sequence.